GCCGCCGCCCGGAGCCGGGUCUUGCUCGCGCUCUCGCGAGAGAGCCGUCAUCUCUCCGGUGCCCGGGAGAGGGGCCGGGCGGGACGGUACAGCAACCGGAGGAACCUUGAUUCCCUGCCCCGCAAGCCCAGCACCGGUUUUGCCGCCUUGUCUCGAAGGGUCAACCAGGCCAUCUCCUGCCUCGGGACGGAGAGCGCCCUGGAAAAGGCGGAGGGGCCGGUGAGGAGCAGGGCUUCCCUCGCUUCGGGGCUUUGAGCUUCCCUGUGACCGUCAUUUCCUUGUAGCGUAUAAUUGGGUUGGCCAUUAAUAAUUGCUCGAUAACUGCAUAAUGGUGAAACCUGGUACCACUCAAAUGCAACUUUCUUGCUCGUUUUCACAAGUCGAUGUUAUCGAAAUGAAGCACUUUUCUCUGAAUUGGUGUGGGUUUUGGAAUGAUUUUUGCAGAGAUAGUCACGACCUUAGUCACACAAGAGCGAUGGCAAGAUUUUCACCCAAGCCAUCUGACUUGGAACCCAUGGAUUAACCAACUGCCACUGGAGGCAAAUCCAGAGACCAAGGGAGCAGUUUAUACAGAAACAGAUGCCGGCAUUAACCCACAGGGAGUUAUUGUUACAGACUGAAGAAUAGAAAAAGAAAAAGCCAAAUAGAGCCUUAUUCCACCCA
rnacentral:lncRNA from 1 species